AGCCCGGGGUGGCUUUCUGGCCACAUCUUGCCUCUUCCCCUGAGCUCUGGGAUUGUGGGCAUGUGCCACUAUGUCCAGCCCUUACAUAGUCUUUCAAAAUUGAUGGGUGGAUUAUUUUCCAGUUUACCUCUGUGUUACUGUUAGCUCAACACAGUUGGGGGACAAUCACUAGAGAGGAAUCCACUGCUCUUGGGGCUGUUGGUUUGGUGACUCUUUGGCCUCUGGGCAAGCUAUUAACGUAUUAAUGCUUUAUGCUUAGACUGAUACAACGAGAGAUGGCUCGCAGGGGUGCUGAGGGGACUAGAGCCGGGAGAAAGGAAGUGGUACCCCUGGUACGUAGAUGGUGCUCGGCAACCAUGUUGCAUCUUUUCUUCUUUUUGUCCCUGAUGGAGCCAUUGCUGAGACAAUAGUAGUAAUUGUGGGAGAUGAUGAACACAGAGUUAGGUGCUGCUCGAAAACUAAAGUUCUGCACCUUGAUAUCAUUGGGGUCUGUGAAAAUGUUCAGGUGUUUUCAUGGAUGCACUAACAUUGCUGCUGGUAUCAGAGUCGGAGUGAGACAGUAUUUACUGCCGCCCUUAAGACCAGAAGACCAGGUAAAGUAGGAAAAGGAAGAUACAGAGUGGAAGGAGAGGAAGAUGAACUCAGCAGAGCUGGGAAUCUGCUUGGUGGUGGAGUGCUUGCCUAGUGUACAUGAGGCUCUUGGUUUGGUCCCACAAAUAAAAUGGACAAGACCUAGGAGGCAAGUUCCUAGGUCCACACAAAGCAGGUUUUUUAAUCAAUCACGCCACUGAUUCUGGACACAGAUCCAGGAGUGUUUUCUAUAUUAUUUGUUUGUUUGUUUGUUUGUUGGCUUUAGUUAAAAGCUGUGAUAAUCCUAAUAUUUGGGUUUGGGGAUUUCUGUACUUUAUUCAUUUUAGCACCAGUGCAUUUCAGGUUCUUCAGAGGACUCUGUUAGUGCUAUUUUCUUACGGAGUGGCUUAUCACAGGCUGGCUGCCUCACACCUGGUACAGGGUGCUUCGUGCUUCCAAGUAUAGCUUUGUUCUGUUCAGCAUUCAUGUCCCAUGUCACCAUGCCACCUCUGUUCACCUCUCACAGUGUCCCUCCAAAGUUUAAGGCCUCCCUUAGAGUCAAAAGCUUUUCAUUUCAGUCGGAACACACCGUCACAGGGCAUUUUUAUUGUAUUUGAUAAAUGUGAUAAGUGUAUUGCACUCUUACUACAUUCUAUUGUGUCCCAGGGAAACUGACAUUCAGUUUUUAUUUAUUCUUGUAGAUUCAGACCUCUAUUUUCUCAUCCACCCAUCCACCCACCUAUCCAUCCACCCAUGCAUCAUCCGUCCAUCCAUCUAGUCAUUUCAUUCAGCUUGUGUUUGUGAAGACUUACUAUGUAUCUGGCAGUGGUGUAAAUGUGGAAGUCAUUUGAGCGUACUGUCUUGUAAGCAAAGUGGAAAUGGUGCCUACCUUCACAGGCUGAUGGCGUCAUUGGGGUGGGGUGCAGAGAGAAGGGAGCACUUGGAUUGAUAGAUCUCCACAUGAAAUAUCCAGUGAUGAGAAGUCCUUGAAGGUCUUCAGUAGAGAAAUGGCACCAGCAGGCCCAGUUGUUGACAGGCUCUCUGAAGUAUGGACGGGGGAUGUUAUGGGGCCACACAGCACAUGAAACCCUGCACCCCAGGAACUUAUGAUAUGUAGCAGGGGCAACCCAGGCAAUACAGGGCAACAUCAGUGUCCCAGGGGAGGAGGCUGUUGGAACCUAAGAUUGACAGUAGAGGCUCAGAGUUCUUCGAAGGAGUCUGGGUUGAGGAGGAGGAAAUGGCUCUGAAGCACUCCACUUGGAGCUAGGAACUGAGGUCACAGUUUGAAGCCAUGCUGAAAAGGUGCCAGCUUCCCUAGAAGAGAAGGGCAUGGGCAUUGAAGUCUUCAUUCUGGGAGGGCAGCAGGGUCACACAGGGUAGAUAGCAC
rnacentral:lncRNA from 1 species